GAAAUGCGAUAAGUAAUGUGAAUUGCAGAAUUCAGUGAAUCAUCGAAUCUUUGAACGCACAUUGCGCCCGCCAGUAUUCUGGCGGGCAUGCCUGUUCGAGCGUCAUUUCAACCAUCAAGCCCCCGGCUUGUGUUGGGGACCUGCGGCUGCCCGCAGGCCCUGAAAACCAGUGGCGGGCUCGCUGUCACACCGAGCGUAGUAGCAUACAUCUCGCUCAGGGCGUGCUGCGGGUUCCGGCCGUUAAAAGCCUUUUUUACCCAAGGUUGACCUCGGAUCAGGUAGGAAGACCCGCUGAACUUAAGC
rnacentral:misc_RNA from 1 species